rnacentral:rRNA from 1 species
GACGAACGCUGGCGGCGUGCUUAACACAUGCAAGUCGAACGGAAAGGCCCUGCUUUUGUGGGGUGCUCGAGUGGCGAACGGGUGAGUAACACGUGAGUAACCUGCCCUUGACUUUGGGAUAACUUCAGGAAACUGGGGCUAAUACCGGAUAGGAGCUCCUGCUGCAUGGUGGGGGUUGGAAAGUUUCGGCGGUUGGGGAUGGACUCGCGGCUUAUCAGCUUGUUGGUGGGGUAGUGGCUUACCAAGGCUUUGACGGGUAGCCGGCCUGAGAGGGUGACCGGCCCAAGUGGGCGAGUGAUACGGCAGGGACUCGUAAGGGAGGUUGGGGAGGGGAGUAAUCUACAAUGGGGGGAUGCCGGGUGGAGGAUGGCCGCGCGCGGGGUUGUAGCCUUCGGUUUGAAGGCACGAAACCCGUGUAACGAGACGUAGGUGACGGUAAUGGAUAAAGAAGCACCGGCUAACUACGUG